GUCUUGACUACCAAAAAAGUGACGGAACGAACGGAAAGAACUAAAACAAAUAAUAUUUUACCGGAAGAAUCCAUUAUUGUUAAAAACUCGGUUUUGAUGGCAAAUAAAAUCCUUCAGGACCUAUUUCCUCGUAGAAAAUUGCAACUGUUGCCGGAUCAGCGGAGUCGGAAGAAAAAUUGUUUACCAAUGAGAACUCCGGAUUCCAGUACAGAAUCGGCCGGGGCUCAUCUCUUGAUGAUAAAAAAGUUAGCUGCUGAAGUAACUGGAUUCGCGUUGCCGAGAGAGCCGGAAUCACCGGUGCAGUUGCUGUUGGUUCGAACGAACAAAACGAGUUCGAAACCAGUGAAAACGCCAGAACGAUGGUAGCCGAUUGUAGAAGCGGUUGCAAUUUUUGUUCUCACAAUCAAAAAGAAUUCAGACUGGCCUGGCCGUAGACUUUAAGGAAAUUUAGUACGGAAAGUGAGACCUGACUUAGGAGCAGGAUUAUGCUUUGCUGUAAAAUUAACCCUUCGUUUCAUAAAGUUACAAAUUUGCAACAAUUAAUUAAAACUGUUCUAAACUUCAUAUUUAGCUAAAACGUCAAUUUUUUUUUCGAUGGGAAUAAUAUUUCUAACUUCAAGAUCACGUUCAACUAAAAAAAAUUACUUUCAGUGUUUAAAGGUACUAAAAAAACCAACUUGAAACUGAAAAAUAUGGAAUGUGGAAAAAGCCUUAUUUUUCAAAUUUUUGGCCUAGUGUAAUUCAUAUUGAGAAUUUUUUUUCGACUCAAAAAAAAUAUUUUCGUAUUCCCACUAAAGUAAUUUACAUAAUAAACAAAAUUUGAGAAUUUUUUUUUGUUUUUUCUCUGAUAUAAUGGGUUUUCAAUAACUGUUGCAAAUUUGCAACACCAUGCAACGGUAGUACCCUAGCUAGUUA